AAGGAAAUUAGACUGACAGUUUGUGGGGGAAGGGGCCAACUGGGAGUGGCAGUUGGGUCUUGUGACUAGCACUUCCUUCCUGCCGUAGGGGACUUGCUUCUGGGUGUGGGAGAAGGAAGGAGCUUGUUCAGCCCAGUCUGGAGUGGCAUGCUCUUCUUGGUUCAGCUCGAAGAUUCAGGCCCAUUCAUCUCUGAAGGACAACCAAGGAACUUAUAGAGAAAUCCCUGGAUAAACAUUGAACCUCUCUAUCUCUGUUUUUCACAUGGGCUGCAAACUUCCAAGAGACUCUAUAGGGCAUCCAAAAUGAGGAAACUGAGACAAAGAGGUUAAACAAGUUACCCAGAGUCAUACAGCUACUUUGACCAAGGAAUAUCUACAGAGAAGAUCUACCAAGAAGUUUUUCCCCAAACCUCUUGGGGCACAUUCUUUCUCAGACCAUCUCAUUCCCUAAGGAGAAUGAGCUCGACCUUAAAGCAGUUGCUACAAAGAACUGAUUCUCACCUCCCUCUCUCUUCCUCUCUCAACUCCAAGUUUGUUGAGCCCCUGGAUGAGUUGCAAAGACUGCCUGUAAGUUCCCUUUGAUCUACUGCUUUACUGGUACAAGUAGCUUUCUUAAUAUUUUGCUCCUUAGCUGUCUGCAAAAAUCUGUCAUGGACACCAGCUCCCAGACCUUCAGGCAACCUGAUCUCCUGAACUUUGGAAAUUCAUACAGUCAUAGCAGUCUUAUACUCUGUCAACCAAGAACAGAGAAGGAAGGAACAAAAUGACUUGUAUUUCAUUGGCCAUACUUCAG
rnacentral:lncRNA from 1 species